CCUACGUGAGGCAGCAGUGGGGAAUAUUGCACAAUGGGGGAAACCCUGAUGCAGCGACGCCGCGUGAGUGAAGAAGUAAUUCGUUAUGUAAAGCUCUAUCAGCAGGGAAGAAAAUGACGGUACCUGAGUAAGAAGCCCCGGCUAACUACGUGCCAGCAGCCGCGGUAAUACGUAGGGGGCAAGCGUUAUCCGGAUUUACUGGGUGUAAAGGGAGCGUAGACGGCAGUGCAAGGCUGGAGUGAAAGGCGGGGGCUCAACCCCCGGACUGCUCUGGAAACUGUACGGCUGGAGUGCAGGAGAGGUAAGUGGAAUUCCUAGUGUAGCGGUGAAAUGCGUAGAUAUUAGGAGGAACACCGGCGGCGAAGGCGGCCUGCUGGACUGCGACUGACGUUGAGGCUCGAAAGCGUGGGGAGCGAACAGGAUUAGAUACCCUAGUAGUC
rnacentral:rRNA from 1 species